AAUAAGUGCAGUUUUACACUAUUCACAUUCAACGUUUGAUCGUUCGUCUUAUUUGAAUUUUUUUUAUGAUUAGCAUUUUAUUGCUAUUAGAUAAUAAAACAUGAAUAGUAUUUUAUGCGUGACUAAAUAUUUUUAAUUUUUUCACAAAUUUUUCAAAUAAGACAGACGGUCAAACGUUGGACACGGAUAUUCACGGCUGCACUUAUU
rfam:Oryza sativa Japonica Group DNA, chromosome 2, cultivar: Nipponbare, complete sequence.